rnacentral:rRNA from 1 species
GGGACACGUGGUAUCCUGUCUGAAUAUGGGGGGACCAUCCUCCAAGGCUAAAUACUCCUGACUGACCGAUAGUGAACCAGUACCGUGAGGGAAAGGCGAAAAGAACCCCGGCGAGGGGAGUGAAAAAGAACCUGAAACCGUGUACGUACAAGCAGUGGGAGCACGCUUAGGCGUGUGACUGCGUACCUUUUGUAUAAUGGGUCAGCGACUUAUAUUCUGUAGCAAGGUUAACCGAAUAGGGGAGCCGAAGGGAAACCGAGUCUUAACUGGGCGUUAAGUUGCAGGGUAUAGACCCGAAACCCGGUGAUCUAGCCAUGGGCAGGUUGAAGGUUGGGUAACACUAACUGGAGGACCGAACCGACUAAUGUUGAAAAAUUAGCGGAUGACUUGUGGCUGGGGGUGAAAGGCCAAUCAAACCGGGAGAUAGCUGGUUCUCCCCGAAAGCUAUUUAGGUAGCGCCUCGUGAAUUCAUCUCCGGGGGUAGAGCACUGUUUCGGCAAGGGGGUCAUCCCGACUUACCAACCCGAUGCAAACUGCGAAUACCGGAGAAUGUUAUCACGGGAGACACACGGCGGGUGCUAACGUCCGUCGUGAAGAGGGAAACAACCCAGACCGCCAGCUAAGGUCCCAAAGUCAUGGUUAAGUGGGAAACGAUGUGGGAAGGCCCAGACAGCCAGGAUGUUGGCUUAGAAGCAGCCAUCAUUUAAAGAAAGCGUAAUAGCUCACUGGUCGAGUCGGCCUGCGCGGAAGAUGUAACGGGGCUAAACCAUGCACCGAAGCUGCGGCAGCGACGCUGAUGCGUUG